rnacentral:rRNA from 1 species
CUUUGAACGCAAGUUGCGCCCCAAGCCAUUAGGCCGAGGGCACGUCUGCCUGGGUGUCACGC